rnacentral:lncRNA from 1 species
GUUGUUGAGAAGAAAAUGGAAUGGAUGUCAGAAGCAAAAUAUUUGCGUGUGAUGAGUUGGAGUUUGAGAAUUUUUAUUUUCUUAUUUUUUUUUUUUUACUGGAAGGAAAGGAAGCUCAAAGAAGCCAAGAAGAUACUCAUGGAUGAAAUGCUUUGCACAUAUGGGAUGGAAAAUUGUGCUGUAUUAAGUCAAAAAGCAGCUUCUGAAGAAUGUAUUAUGGCUGCAGCUUCACAGGGAGAGAGAAACAGCUGGGGCGGUUGACAUCUGAAACAGGAGUGGCUGAUCGUUCCUUGCGCAGCAGAUGGGCUUGGGUUAUGAAUAAGCAGCAAAUGUGAAAAAGAGAUUCUCAGGGUUGAGCCAGGCUUGCUUCGUGCAAAGCCAGUUAACCCUUGAUGCUUGCCAUGGGUCCAAGGUCUGGGUUGUCAGGCUGUUUCUCAACAUCAGAGAUCUUAUAGCACCAAUGGUGAUGAGUCCUCAAGCAAAACUGCCCUGGGGGAAAUGCACGAGAAGAGCCGAUGCACAUCUGAAGAGUUAAGUGUGCGUUCAAGACACUUUCCCUGUGAGGGACAUGGGUUUUGGUCCCUGGUUGAGGAACUAAGAUCCCACAUGCCUCGCAGCCAAAUACACACACAAAUGUGUUAUCUUAUAGUUCUAUAAGUCAUAUCUGCAGACUUACUGAGUUAAAAUCAAGGUGUUGGUAAUGCUGAGUUUCUUUCCAGAAAUUCUAGGGGCGGGCUCAUUUCCUUGUUCAUCCAGUUAUUGGCAGAGUUCAGUUUUAUGUGAUCCUCCCAUGCAUGGCUGGAAAUGUAGCCCACAGCCUGUAUUCCAGCUCCUAGCAGCUGUGUAAACCAACACCUUUCAGAUGAGGUGACAUCCUGAGGAAUAGGGAGUUCAUCAAAUUCCUGGACAUGAUGUGAUUUGACAGGUGUCAGAAUGCUCCCAUUUUCUACCAAUACCUCCUCCCUGGCCAAAUUCUCACUGAUGUCUCCAAUUUUAUAUUUGGGAAAAUAUUCCUUCAUGUUAUAUAACUGAAUGAAGCUCAUUAAAAUGCUGUCCUUGAGAGGGGUGACAUGUUGAAACUGAUCAGCAUUGAAUAUUAGCAUAUGUAAAUUAGUUUUUCAGAUGCUCUCCAAGCUGCAUCAUUCCCAGCUUUCAGAGAGCAGCUCCCUCUGGAGCUGGACACAUGCUGGGGAAGAGGAGGGCCCUUGAGCGUUAUGAACACCUUGAGGAUCUGCUUUUCCUCGGCUCUGCCUCUUACUAGCCCUGUGCCCUUGGGCCAAGUCGUGACCUUGGGAUGACAUGUAACCUUCAAAAUCUUCCUUUGAAGAAAGAGUAAUAACAGGUACUAUGAAUAGGUCAUAGGAGGUCAUGCAGAUUAAACAGGGUAAAGAUCGUGAAAGUACUUGAAAACUGUGAAGUAGUAUACAAGUGUAAGGUGUUAGGAUGAUGGUUGGAGUGAGGUCCGUGGCCGUAGCCCUAAUCAUGGGAAGUAUGGAACGUUUCACUAACUACAUAUAGUAUUGGGGGGAUGGGUGGGUAGAAGAGCUUGGACCUCUUUAUGGCUCAAAUAACUAACACGUUCACCAAAGGUGACAUGAAGCCGCUCAACAGAAACAAUUCCUGAGUGGCAGUUAUAGAGUGGAUUCCUGCCAGCAUUACACAGAAAGGUACAUCAAGUUCCUGUUUCUGUGUAGUAUCAAGGGAUGAUCUAACCUAACCCAAGGUGGAGAAUUUAACUUCUUCCAUGGCCACCAGGGCAGAGAAUACAAAGCAGGAAACCCAGGGCUAAUUUGGAACCACACAGAAUGAGGAAGAGCUAGAGGGGAAAUGGAGUGAAUGCUAAUCCUUGGGCCCCAGGCAGAAUAGAUUGUCAAUAUUUCCAGAUGGGAUUGGCAGGAAGCAAAAAAUUAUUAGCCAUGCCUGAUGAAGACUCUUCUAACAUUAACUUAGGGCAACUUCAUCAGCAGGAACUGUGAGAAAAAGCCAUGACACAAUAAAACGGGGUCUUGAGAAAAGAUCUGCUUGUUC